UACGUAGGGGGCAAGCGUUGUCCGGAUUUAUUGGGCGUAAAGAGCGUGUAGGCGGCCAGGGAGGUCCGUUGUGAAAACUCGAGGCUCAACCUCGAGACGUCGGCGGAAACCCUCUGGCUAGAGUCCGGAAGAGGAGAGUGGAAUUCCUGGUGUAGCGGUGAAAUGCGCAGAUAUCAGGAAGAACACCCGUGGCGAAGGCGGCUCUCUGGGACGGUACUGACGCUGAGACGCGAAAGCGUGGGGAGCAAACAGG
rnacentral:rRNA from 1 species